rnacentral:rRNA from 1 species
GACGAACGCUGGCGGCGUGCUUAACACAUGCAAGUCGAGCGGUAAGGCCUCUUCGGGGGUACACGAGCGGCGAACGGGUGAGUAACACGUGGGUGACCUGCCCUCAGCUCUGGGAUAAGCCUGGGAAACUGGGUCUAAUACCGGAUAUGACCUUGCCUCGCAUGGGGUGGGGUGGAAAGCCUGGUCUUAAUUGAUUCGGCGGCUGGGGAUGGGGCCCGCGGCCUAUCAGCUUGNGGUGGGGUGAUGGCCUACCAAGGCGACGACGGGUAGCCGGCCUGAGAGGGCGACCGGCCACACUGGGACUGAGACACGGCCCAGACUCCUACGGGAGGCAGCAGUGGGGAAUAUUGCGCAAUGGGCGGAAGCCUGACGCAGCGACGCCGC